rnacentral:rRNA from 1 species
CCAGCAGCUGCGGUAAUUCCAGCUCCAAUAGCGUAUAUUAAAGUUGUUGCGGUUAAAAAGCUCGUAGUUGGAUUUCUGCCGAGGACGACCGGUCCGCCCACUGGGUGUGCAUCUGGCUCGGCCUGGGCAUCUUCUUGGAGAACGUAUCUGCACUUCACUGUGUGGUGCGGUAUCCAGGACUUUUACUUUGAGGAAAUUAGAGUGUUUCAAACAGGCGUUCGCCGUGAAUACAUUAGCAUGGAAUAAUAAGAUAGGACUUCGGUUCUAUUUUGUUGGUUUCUAGAACUGAAGUAAUGAUUAAUAGGGACAGUCGGGGGCAUUCGUACUUAACUGUCAGAGGUGAAAUUCUUGGAUUUGUUAAAGACGAACUACUGCGAAAGCAUUUGCCAAGGAUGUUUUCAUUGAUCAAGAACGAAAGU